AUGGCCGAAGUUGAGAAAGAGGUUCCAGAGAAAACCAUUGCUGAAGAUUUGGUGGUAACCAAAUACAAAUUGGCCGGUGAAAUAGUCAACAAAACACUUAAAGCUGUUAUUGAUCUCUGUGUGGUCGAAGCAUCUGUUCGUGAUAUCUGCACUAAGGGAGACAAUCUUAUUGUCGAUGAAACCAGCAAGGUAUACAAAAAAGAAAAGGACUUGAAAAAGGGAAUUGCAUUUCCAACAUGUUUAUCCGUUAAUAACUGCGUUUGCCACUUCUCUCCAUCCAAAAAUGAUGCCGAUUACAUUCUUAAGGAAGGAGAUGUUGUUAAAAUUGAUCUUGGCGCACAUAUUGAUGGUUUUAUUGCCGUAGCAGCACACACAGUAGUUAUUGGUGCCUCAAAGGAGAAAAAAGUAUCUGGACGCCAAGCUGACGUAGUUUUAGCAGCUUAUUGGGCAGUGCAGGCUGCACUGCGGUUACUGAAAUCUGGAAAUAGCAAUUAUACGAUCACCGACGCCGUGCAACAAGUCAGCGAAUCAUACAAAUGCAAACCCAUUGAAGGUAUGCUUAGCCAUGAGUUGAAACAAUUUAAAAUUGAUGGUGAAAAAACGAUCAUACAAAAUCCGAAUGAAAGUCAGCGCAAAGAACACGAAAAAUGUACUUUCGAGACGCAUGAAGUUUACGCCAUCGACGUAAUAGUGAGCACCGGCGAAGGCAUUGGUCGCGAGAAGGAUACAAAGGUCUCAAUAUAUAAGAAAACAGAUGAAAAUUAUAUGCUGAAGCUAAAGGCAUCACGUGCGUUGCUGCAAGAGGUCAAAACAAAAUACGGAAAUAUGCCUUUCAAUAUCAGACACUUUGAUGAAGAAACAAAAGCGCGUAUGGGUGUUGUAGAAUGCGUAUCGCACAAGAUGAUUGAGCCUUUCCAAGUUCUAUACGAAAAACCAGCUGAAUAUGUUGCGCAAUUCAAGCAUACUGUGUUGCUUAUGCCCAAUGGUGUCAAUUUGGUUACUGGUAUCCCAUUCACGGAGGAGUUGUAUGUCAGUGAGCAUAGCAUAGCUCAGCCAGAACUGAAAGAACUUGUCGCUACACCUUUGCAACCCAGUAAGAAGGGUAAAGGUGGUGCUAAGAAGAAGGGUGGUGCCGGCGCCGCAGUUGGUGCGGAUGCGGCGGCAUCGAAGGUCGAAACCACUCCGGCAGUGGAAACAAAGGCCUGAAGUGUGGCUACCGUUACUGCCUUUUAAACAAUAUAAACACAACCUAACAGAGAUGAAGUCAGCGAAUCCAACAGCAGCAGUUACAACAAUAUAUUAGAAGCAAUAAGGUGUUAACUAAAAUGGAGCAAAAGAGCGGAUGUUUUAGGAAUUAGUGUGCGUGUGUAUUCUUGUCGAUGCAGGAGCAACAAUUGAAACCAUCGAUUAGAUUUUGCACUGCAGUUAAUUUCUAUUUUAACUGAAAAAAAUAACAUAAUAAACUUAUUAUCAACAAGAACGAACUUAUCGAUAUGCAAAGGACCUUUUUGAACAAUGAUAGUCGUAAUUAAAUAUAAGAAGUUAAUGAUAACUACUUACAGAACGUACAUAUAAGGUUGCACCUUUAAAAAGAAAGUAAAGUAAAAAAACUGCACGACUUUUAUUUUAUAAAAUUAUUAAGAUUGUAUAUCGAUAGCUAAGCAACUUAAGAACAUCAUAUAUGUGUGUAUUAAAACGCAUUAUAUUAUCAUUUGCGAAGCGGUAAAAAUGCAAUUUGGAAACUGAAAACUAAACCUUAAAUGGUAGCAGUUACACAAUAAAAUUAGUAUUUUGUAAACAUGGAAUAAAAUCGUUUAUUAUCCACCGAAA
rnacentral:misc_RNA from 1 species